rnacentral:lncRNA from 1 species
UUAAUGUAUUUCUUAGCCAUGAAGAAAAGCACCAUGAUACAGCUUUACAACUGCCAACCAACUCCAUUAAUGUAUUCCUUUGUGCAGGGAAUAUGCUGAUGUGCUGUCUUAUCUGAGUAGGCUGGAAGAUUAUGUGGCAAUAUUAUUGGCUGAAGAAAAAUAUCAUAUUAUCAGCAUGGUCCAUAUGAACAGAUUGUAGCAAAUUAGACACUCCCGUGUCAAUCUCCCCUGGUUGAAAAAGACUUGUCCUCAAGUCCGUGUUUGUUUCGUCAACAUGAUUAUAAAAAGGACUUAAAUCAGCCACAUUAAAUGUUGGGGAUACUCCGUAAUCUUUAGGUAGCUCAAUCUCAUAAGCAUUUUUGCCAAUUUUCUUAAGCACCUUGAAU